UCGAACUCCUGACCUUAGGUGAUCAGCCCGCCUUGGCUUCCCAAAGUGCUGGGAUUACAGGUGUGAGCCACUGCGCCUGGCCAAACUUAAACAAUUUUUAAUAACGAUCUCAAAAUUACUAUGCAUGGUGGAAAAUGGAAGUAUUUGAUUAUCACUGACAAUGAUAAAAGUUUCACAUUUUUAGAUGGUAAAUCACAUAUGUAUAUUUUACUUCUAACCCAAAAUUUUUUAAGUUUAAUAUUUUUAUGGAUUUUUCAAUUUUCAUAGACAUUUUAUUUUUAAUAACCCUGUGUCUGUGACAAAGCAUCACAGCUUUGGUGUGGGUUAACUCCUGGUGACGUCCACACAUUUGGGCAAGUUCUAAAACGUCGGUGCCUUCACCUCCAUGGAGAGUCAGGUACCAUUAGGCACAGGUGGGGUUUGAUGUAGGGUGGGUUCCCAGCAGCCGACGGCUUCCUUCACAUUAGCUUCCAUGGCAGGUGUUUUUGGACCUGAUUCUUUGGUGUGUAGAUGCGUGAUCCAAACAGUAGAUGUAAUUGUCACUCAGCAAGUAUCGAGCCCCUCCUCCUUCUGCUGCAUGGGAUACAUUUUCCCUCUUGGGAAAUCUGGGUCUGGUCAUGCAUCUGCUAGUCGAGUGCUAGAGGGCGUGGUGUGAGCCGUAGCCCCGUAGAUCCUGGAUCUGGACACACGCGCCAUGAUCUGGCCUGGACAGCUGCCGCCCUUCAGCCUGGACUUCCCAUCACACCUCACAGUCCAGACUCCAGUUCAGCUUUCAGCUUUGCAACCGAGCUGCCCAGAAAAGCCCAGAGCUGGAGGAGCAGAACUGCAGCCGCCCUGCAGGUUUGUGAGAGUGAGAAUGAACACUCCUCAUAGAAAACUAGCGGGCCUGGGGAUAGUGUUUUCCCCAGCUCCAUCGUAGUAACACUGGACUGAUGGAUUACACGUUGGCCUCGUCAGAACCAUGACGAGAAUGUGGAAGCUGUGCACAAGUAAAAAGUUUACCCAAGAUCCAACAUUUAUUGAAUUUAAAAUAAACGUUAUAUAGGUGGACUUCACUGUGAUCUCCUCAAAUAAUGCAUUUGUUAGAAUAUAUUCACCUGAGACCUCAGAAAGCGCUGGAAGAAAAUAAGAAACUUAAGAGUGGAAACCAUGAAUGUAGGUACUUUUCUUUGUAAAGACAGAAUUUUAGAGCAAGAAGGAAAGCUAAAUUGCAUCUAGCCUGGUAGUUUCUGUCUUGGUCUACCGUUUUUCUUACAGGUUUUCAAAGCUAGUAGUGGGGGUCUGAGACCUGUCUAUAGUCGCUGAAGAAGCCUGAAUGAGCCGCACACCUGCCCUGCAUGGUGCACACAAGAGGCCAGUUCCAAGGACACCCAGCUGGCCAUGUGACAAAGGACUCUGGGUCCCUGGAGACUCACCUGCUGAGUCUGUGCUCCCUUUGAGGGUGCAGUUGUGAAUGGGACAUGAACAUGCCUCUCUGCUCUGCAGGGUGGAACCUCAACCAACCUCACACCUCCCUCAAGCUCAUGGUCCUGAUGCUGAAACUUGGGGCAGUUCAAAAAGCCAGUGGCUUUGCCCAAGCCAACUUCUUCACAUCCACAGAACAGGAAGUGCCUCUCCUGGGGGCAGCAGAGCCAGGUGAGGGUCUUUCUUCUGCAGGAAGGGGACCCGAUUGGGGGUGAACCUGGACCCUGCGCCCUGCGUGGGAACCCUUGAUGACGGGACACUGAACCCCCUUUCCAGGUGCCUGCACACCCCAUCGUUGGGUCUCUGCAAGUCUUCCAGGCCCCAUAGGGUGAGAGCCUUGGCCUGACUCCCAAACUUGGACUCCAAAUCUUGCCUGCUGUUGGCUGGUCUGUGAAGGACUUCAUUUAAUGUAGGCUCAAGAGUUCCUUACGUAGGUCAUCGCUUUGUGAGAUGUGAGAAAUCAUCACAAUUAGUGACCACAUGCAGAACGAGAGCCACAGCGUGCUGUCUG
rnacentral:lncRNA from 1 species